CACUCAUCGAGACCGGCUGAGGGACAGGCCCGACGAAGCCGGGGCAACCCGCGGAUACCGCAAGGUUCCGCACGGUGCCAACUCCUGCGGGAGCGCGAAGCGCUCACCGAGAGAUGAGUC
rnacentral:ncRNA from 2 species